rnacentral:rRNA from 1 species
UACGUAGGCAGCAAGCGUUGUUCGGAGUUACUGGGCGUAAAGAGUGUGUAGGCGGUUCUCUAAGUUUGGUGUGAAAUCUCCCGGCUUAACUGGGAGGGUGCGCCGAAAACUGGAGGGCUCGAGUAUGGGAGGGGAAAGCGGAAUUCCUGGUGUAGCGGUGAAAUGCGUAGAUAUCAGGAGGAACACCUGUGGUGUAGACGGCUUUCUGGACCAUCACUGACGCUGAGACACGAAAGCGUGGGGAGCAAACAGG